rnacentral:rRNA from 1 species
AUCACUCUAAGCGGUGGAUCACUCGGCUCAUGGGUCGAUGAAGAACGCAGCAAACUGUGCGUCAUCGUGUGAACUGCAGGACACAUGAACAUCGACAUUUUGAACGCAUAUCGCAGUCCAUGCUGUUUGGUACUUUAAUUAAUUUUAUAGUGCUGCUUGGACUACAUAUGGUUGAGGGUUGUAAGACUAUGCUAAAUAAGUUGUUUAAAAAUUUUACGAAAUUUUUAAGCAUAUUGUAUAUUAUUGGAUAUGUAUAUAUAUAUAUAUUAUAAUAUUGAUAUUAAAUGGAAACGCAUUAUCUCUCAUUGUUGUAUAUAUUUGUGUGAGAAGAACGAAGAAAAAUAUAUAUUUUUUUGUCCUUUUUGAAUCAAAUAAUACUGAGGAAUGUCUAGCAUAAAAAAAUAAUUAAAGUUUUUUCAUCUAGAAUUGCCUCUUAUUAAUGUUUCGAAAGGAAAUUUUGUUGUAAAUAUAAAUAUUUAAUAUUCUUCGUGAUAUUCGUUAUAAAAUACGAAUAUUAUAAUGAUUUCAUUAUGAGAACGCUCUAUAUAUAUAAUAAUAUAGUGUAAUUAUCAUUAUAAAUUUUAAUAUACGUAUAUACAACCUCAACUCAUAUGGGACUACCCCUGAAUUUAAGCAUAUUAAUUAGGGAGGAAAAGAAACUAACCAGGAUUUUCUUAGUAGCGGCGAGCGAAAAGAAAUCAGUUCAGCACUAAGUCACUUUGUCUAUAUGGCAAACGUGAGAUGCAGUGUAUGGAGCGUCAAUAUUCUAGUAUGAGAAAUUAACGAUUUAAGUCCUUCUUAAAUGAGGCCAUUUACCCAUAGAGGGUGCCAGGCCCGUAUAACGUUAAUGAUUACUAGAUGAUGUUUCCAAAGAGUCGUGUUGCUUGAUAGUGCAGCACUAAGUGGGUGGUAAACUCCAUCUAAAACUAAAUAUAACCAUGAGACCGAUAGUAAACAAGUACCGUGAGGGAAAGUUGAAAAGAACUCUGAAUAGAGAGUUAAACAGUACGUGAAACUGCUUAGAGGUUAAGCCGAUGAACCUGAAUAUCCGUUAUGGAAAAUUCAUCAUUAAAGUUGUAAUAUUUUAACAAUAUUAUAAUAAUAGUGUGCAUUUUUUCCAUAUAAGGACAUUGUAAUCUAUUAGCAUAUAACAAAUUUAUCAUAAAAUAUGACUUAUAGUUUAUUCAAAUUAUUAUGCUUGCAUUUUAACAUAGAAUAAAUGUCAUUAAUUUGAUAAAGUGUGAUAAAUUAAAAUUAAUACAGUGCGUUAAUUUUUCGAAAUUAUAUAAUGGCAUAAUUAUCAUUGAUUUUUGUGUUUAUUAUAUGCAUUUGUAUGAUUAACAAUGCGAAAGAUUCAGGAUACCUUCGGGACCCGUCUUGAAACACGGACCAAGGAGUCUAACAUAUGUGCAAGUUAUUGGGAGAUAAACCUAAUAGCGUAAUUAACUUGACUAAUAAUGGGAUUAGUUUUUUAACUAUUUAUAGAUAAUUAACACAAUCCCGGGCGUUCUAUAUAGUUAUGUAUGAUAAUAUUUAUAUUAUUUAUGCCUCUAACUGGAACGUACCUUGAGCAUAUAUGCUGUGACCGAAAGAUGGUGAACUAUACUUGAUCAGGUUGAAGUCAGGGAAACCCUGAUGGAAGACCGAAACAGUUCUGACGUGCAAAUCGAUUGUCAGAAUUGAGUAUAGGGGCGAAAGACCAAUCGAACCAUCUAGUAGCUGGUUCCUUCCGAAGUUUCCCUCAGGAUAGCUGGUGCAUUUUAAUGUUAUAUAAAAUAAUCUUAUCUGGUAAAGCGAAUGAUUAGAGGCCUUAGGGGAAACGAUCUUAACCUAUUCUCAAACUUUAAAUGGGUAAGAACCUUAACUUUCUUGAUAUGAAGUUUAAGGUUAUGAUAUAAUGCCAGUGGCCACUUUGGUAAGCAGAACUGGCGCUGUGGGAUGAACCAAACGUAAUGUUACGGUGCCCAAAUUAACAACUCAUGCAGAAACCAUGAAAGGCGUUGGUUGCUUAAAACAGCAGGACGGUGAUCAUGGAAGUCGAAAUCCGCUAAGGAGUGUGUAACAACUCACCUGCGAAGCAACUAGCCCUUAAAAUGGAUGGCGCUUAAGUUGUAUACCUAUACAUUACCGCUAAAGUAGAUGAUUUAUAUUACUUGUGAUAUAAAUUUUGAAACUUUAGUGAGUAGGAAGGUACAAUGGUAUGCGUAGAAGUGUUUGGCGUAAGCCUUCAUGGAGCUGCCAUUGGCACAGAUCUUGGUGGUAGUAGCAAAUAAUCGAAUGAGACCUUGGAGGACUGAAGUGGAGAAGGGUUUCGUGUGAACAGUGGUUGAUCACGAGUUAGUCGGUCCUAAGUUCAAGGCGAAAGCCGAAAAUUUUCAAGUAAAAAAUCAGUGAGUAAUAUUGUCAAAUCUUUAUGAUUUUUAAAUACUUGAAUAAUUUUGAACGAAAGGAAUACGGUUCCAAUUCCGUAACUGUUGAGUAUCCGUUGUUAUUAAAUAUGGGCCUCGUGCUCAUCCUGGCAACAGGAACGACCAUAAAGAAGCCGUCGAGAGAUAUCGGAAGUUUUCUUUUCUGUUUUAUAGCCGUACUACCAUGGAAGUCUUUCGCAGAGAGAUAUGGUAGAUGGGCUAGAAGAGCAUGACAUAUACUGUUGUGUCGAUAUUUUUCCUCGGACCUUGAAAAUUUAUGGUGGGACACGCAAACUUCUCAACAGGCGUACCAAUAUCCGCAGCUGGUCUCCAAGGUGAAGAGUCUCUAGUCGAUAGAAUAAUGUAGGUAAGGAAGUCGG